GACGAACGCUGGCGGCGUGCUUAACACAUGCAAGUCGAACGGGGUCCAUGAGAGCUUGCUCUCGGAAGACCUAGUGGCGAACGGGUGAGUAACACGUGAGAAACCUGCCUCGGAGUGGGGAAUAACUCGAGGAAACUCGAGCUAAUACCGCAUACCUUCAUUUGACCGCAUGGUCAGUUGAAGAAAGAUUUAUCGCUCUGAGAGGGUCUCGCGGCCUAUCAGCUUGUUGGUGGGGUAACGGCCUACCAAGGCAACGACGGGUAGCUGGAUUGAGAGAUCGACCAGCCACACUGGAACUGAGACACGGUCCAGACUCCUACGGGAGGCAGCAGUGGGGAAUCUUGCGCAAUGGGCGAAAGCCUGACGCAGCAACGCCGCGUGCGGGAUGAAGGCCUUCGUGGUUGUAAACCGCUUUCAGUAGGGACGAAAAUGACGGUACCUGCAGAAGAAGCUCCGGCUAACUACGUG
rnacentral:rRNA from 1 species